GUGCCCGUAGCUCAGCUGGAUAGAGCGUUGGCCUCCGGAGCCAAAGGUCUCGGGUUCGAAUCCCGACGGGCACG
rnacentral:tRNA from 1 species